AGGACCAUAUCACGUUGAAACACCGGUCCUCGUACGAUCACUGAAAUUAAGCAACGUCGAGCCUCGUCAGUACCUAGAUGGGUGACCGCUUGGAAAUACCAGGUACUGUAAG